rnacentral:rRNA from 1 species
GAUGAACGCUGGCGGCGUGCCUAAUACAUGCAAGUCGAGCGAACAGAUGCGGCGCUUGCUCCUUUGUCGUUAGCGGCGGACGGGUGAGUCACGCGUGUAUCACCUCCUUAUAUGACUGGGAUAACUUCGGGACACCGGAGCUAAUACCGUAUAAUAUCUUGAUCCGCAUGGUUCGAUGGUAAAAGUCGGUUUUGCUGUCACUUAUAGCUGGUUCCGCGCUGCAUUGGCUAGUUGGUACGGUCACGGCUUACCAAGGCGACGAGGCGUGGCCGACGUGUGAGACGGAUAGGCCGCACGGGAACUGAGACGCGGUCCAGAGUCCUACGAGAGGCAGCAGUAGGGAAUGUUCCGCAAUGGGCGAAAGUCUUGCGGAGCAACGCGGCGUGAGUGAUAAAGGUGUUCGGAUCGUGAAACUCUGUUAUUAGUGAAGAACAACUGUGUAAGUAGCUAUGCACGGCGUGACGGUACCGAAUCAGAAAGCCACGGCUAACUACGUG